AUUAGGGUUGGAAGAGACCUCUGGAGAUCAUCUGUUUGAAGACCCUGCCAAGGAAUGCAUCCAGGCAGGAUUUGGGUGUCUCCAGAGACGACUGUUCUGAAAUGCCUGAGCAAUGGGAAGGAAAGGCCACUCAGUUCCCCCUGUACCUAAUUAAAUACAGGAAAGAUUGGACAGAAGGAGCCAGGAACAGCCCUCUUGUUCCAGGCCAGGAACUGUUUCUAAAUGGAAGAGGUGCUGAUACUACUUCAGAUGAAAAGCUACAAGGAAGAUCCCAUGUCUGAGCAGUUAACAAGUACUUGUGAUAAACUUGUCAAACCACAGGAUUUCCUUCUGCCCUACGAUGUAACUGUGUGAUUCAGAGGCACAGUCUGAAGACAA